CACAACAGCGGGACCUAGCGAUCAAUUUCGUGUUCCAUUUCUCACUUGAUGAGCCAUAUUCCCGCGUUUCUGUGUCUCAGACUCACAGACAAGCCAGCCACCUCCGCCAACAGCCAUGUACGGCUUCGUCAACUACGCCAUUGAGCAGCUGGUCGUUCGCAACUUCGGCGACGAGGUGUGGCAGGACAUCAAACGAGAGGCCGAGGUGUACAUGGACGGUUCGUUCCUGGUCCGUCUCACGUACGAAGAUGAGAUCACGUACAACAUCGUGGCAGCUGCUGAGAAAGUCCUCGGU